rnacentral:rRNA from 1 species
CCUACGGGUGGCAGCAGUCGAGAAUCAUUCACAAUGGGGGAAACCCUGAUGGUGCGACGCCGCGUGGGGGAAUGAAGGUCUUCGGAUUGUAAACCCCUGUCAUGUGGGAGCAAAUUAAAAAGAUAGUACCACAAGAGGAAGAGACGGCUAACUCUGUGCCAGCAGCCGCGGUAAUACAGAGGCCUCAAGCCUUGUUCGGAAUGCAUGGGCGUAAAGCGUGCGUAGGCUGUUUCGUAAGUCGGGUGUGAAAGGCGCGGGCUCAACCCGCGGACGGCACAUGAUACUGGCAGACUAGAGUAGUGGAGGGGGAAGCGGAAUGCUCGGUGUAGCGGUGAAAUGCGUAGAUAUCGAGAGGAACACUCGUGGCGAAGGCGGGUUGCUGGACCUUAACUGACGCUGAGGCACGAAGGCCAGGGGAGCGAAAGGGAUUAGAUACCCGGGUAGUC